UCUGCCUCCCAAGUGCUGGAAUUAAAGGCGUGCGCCACCACGCCCGGCUGUUUAUUUCUUGAGACAGGGUCUUGACAUGUUGUCUAGACUGGCAUUAAGCUUUCAGAGCUUUUGGUUCAGCCUCCUGAGUGUUGGGAUGCAUGUAAGUGUCACUGAAGCCUGGCCAGGUAAAACUUGUUGUUAGAUAUUUAGACUGUUCUCUUUUCUCUGGAUACUACCGGCAACACUGAUAAACAUCUUUGGUUAUCAAUAUGUCCAUAUGCCCAUAAGCAUUUGGUUCAUAUGCUUGCUUUAUUUCAAGACAGUGUCUAAUCUAGCUCUGGUCCUUGUGUCUCAGUUUCCUUGUGCUAGGAUUAUGGUUGUGUACCAGCAUUCUUGUCUGGCCUGUAUUUUGGAUAGCUUUCUUAGGAUAAACAAUAAAGACAAUAGGCGUUGAGUUGUUAAGUUUGUUGGUACUUAACAGUUGAAUUGUUUCCUUAGUUCAUUGAAAGAACAGACCAUUUACUAAGUGAAAGAAUGAAUGUUCUCCAGGAAAACUAUACCUAGUUGUACUCUCCAGAGAGGCAAAUGCUUGCAACUCCCAUAUAGCCUUUCAUAUUUAAUCCUCCAGUGUUCUCAUUUUUUCAUAGUUGGGGCUUACUCUAAUAUUCAGACUUUGUUACUUUCUCUAACUUACGGCAGAUCAAAUCAAACCAGUAUUCCUGCUCUGUUAAAGGAGAAACAAUUUCUUCUCAUUUGGUCAUGGUCCAUACAAACACCCUUCCUCCUUUCGCUGGGAGUUUAUCUUCUGAUUCAUAGUCGUCCCUGAAAUUACAGAUAUUUGAAAUAUUUGACCAACCUUAUAGGUAAUAUUCAACAUAUGAACAGAAACAAAGUAUAAUUGAAGAAAGAAAAUCCAGAAUUAGUUUUUAGAAACCAAAUAGGAUAGUGGUUCUUAGAAUACAUGAGAAAUUGUAACCUUUAGUGUCUCUGGGGUUUUGUUUCUUAUCUGUACAACAGACUGUAAAUGUAUCUUUUAUUCAACUGAUGUAAUUGUCCUCUCAGAGGCUUACUGUAGGCUCACCCUUUCUAGCUCUUUCUGAACUUUGGCUAGCCUGUUCAACUCAGCUGUUCUGGCCCAAACUGCCCUCUAAGCUGACGAAUUCAAACUGGCUUCUCUUGGUUUCUGACCGAGUUGCUCUGCUUAGCCUCACACAAACUCCGGUAAUCUAUUCUAACCUUCUGGCUCCUUUUCAUUCUCUGGCUUGUUCUGUGUUUGCCUGUAGCCUAUCUGCCUCUAAACUUCACAAACUGAACUGUCAUGAGCUCAGCUCCUUUGUAUUGCCUCUCCACUGACUCCCACUGACCGCACCAAACUCACCUCCACCAACUGAGCUGACUGAAUUGAGAAUGACUGUCCCUUACUGUGCUGCCCUCUCUCUUUUUUAAAUUUAUUUUUAUUUCAUGUGCAUUGAUAUUUGCAUGUAUAUAUGUCUUUGUGAGGGAGUCAGAUCUCCUGGAACUGGAGUUGCAGACAUUUGUGAGCUGCCAUAUGGGUGCUAGGAGUUGAAUCUGGGUCCUCUGGAAGAGCAGCCAGUGUGCUCAAACACUGAACCAUCUCUCUGAGAGCUCCCUGAACUGCUCUUUUAGGUCCCCUCUCUUUAUUCUGCUGUUCUCUUAAAGGUUAGGCAUAUCUUAUCUCUGACUCAUUCUGUCAGAUCUUUUUCUGAGACGUCACUUUGUUUGCCUCUCGAUUAGAUAUCACUUUCAAACAUGGCUGCUUCCUUCUAUAAACUAACUGUAUCUACAUUGUUUGGGAUUAAAAGUGUGUACUAAGGACAUGUCUGUAUUCCAGCCAGAGGAAUUAAAGGUGUGUGGUGUGUCUACUUUUCAGCCUGAUCACACAGAUCUAGGUCUUUGAAUGUGUUCCCUUGCCAGAGAAGCCAUGUUGCUGGAUUAAAAUUCCUCUAUAACAGGCCCACAAUAAUAUCUUCCCUACUUAGCACACAAGCCUAGAUAGAUAUAAACAACUUGUGAAAUAGCACAUUCUUACUGAAUGAUUACUGUGCAAAGAUUGUAUAUGUUCAAAGAAGUAAUUCCUUUGGAAUGUUUGAAAGUUUAUUUUGCAAGAGGCUCUUUAUGAUUUGAAUUUUCCCUGUCUCAUUAGCCUCAAAUCUGGUCUUUCUUACCUGUUGUUUCAGCCCAGGAAAAGUAAUUAUCCUGGUCAUAUCAUCCCAACCUCCACCCCACCAGCCCUGUGUGUAUGUGUGCAUGUGUGUGCAUGUAUACUUAAUUUUAUUAUUUUCAUAUUUUAGUUUAUUUUCCAUAUAUGACUUGUGACCUCUCCCUCCACCUUCUUUUUUUUCCUUUUUUUAAAAAAAAGAUUUAUUUAUUUAUUUUAUGUUUGUGAGUACACUGUAGCUGUACAGAUGGUUGUGAGCCUUCAUGUGGUUGCUGGGAAUUGAAUUUUAGAACCUCUGCUCACUUUGGUCAACCUCAUUUGCUCAGUCCCUGCUCAAUCUGUCCCAAAGAUUUAUUUAUUAUUAUAGAUAGGUAUACUGUAGCUAUCUUCAGACAUACCAGAAGAGGGUGUCAGAUCUCAUUACAGAUGGUUGUGAUCCACCAUGUGAUUGCUGGGAUUUGAACUCAGGACUUUCAGAAGAGCAGUCAGUGCUCUUACCCACUGAGCCAUCUCGCCAGCCCUUUAUCUUUUUUUUUUUAAUUGAAAAUUCAUAUAGUGUAUUCUGAUCAGUUUCCCUUCCCCCAUCUCAUCCCAGAUCCUCCCCACCCAGUCCAAUUCUGUACCUUUUUCUCUCUCUUAGAAAACAGGC
rnacentral:lncRNA from 1 species